AGUGAACGCUGGCGGUAGGCCUAACACAUGCAAGUCGAACGGCAGCACAGUAAGAGCUUGCUCUUACGGGUGGCGAGUGGCGGACGGGUGAGGAAUACAUCGGAAUCUACUUUUUCGUGGGGGAUAACGUAGGGAAACUUACGCUAAUACCGCAUACGACCUACGGGUGAAAGCAGGGGAUAUUCGGACCUUGCGCGAUUGGAUUAGCCGAUGUUGGAUUAGUUAGUUGGCGGGGUAAAGGCCCACCCAGUCGACGAUCCGUAGCUGGUCUGAGUGGAUGAUCAGCCACACUGGAACUGAGACACGGCCCAGACUCCUACGGGAGGCAGCAGUGUGGAAUAGUGGACAAUGGGCGCAAGCCUGAUCCAGCCAUACCGCGUGGGUGAAGAAGGCCUUCGGGUUGUAAAGCCCUUUUGUUGGGAAAGAAAAGCAGCAGGUUAAUACCCCGCUGUUCUGACGGUACCCAAAGAAUAAGCACCGGCUAACUUCGUG
rnacentral:rRNA from 1 species